GAUGAACGCUGACAGCAUGCUUAACACAUGCAAGUCUACUUGAACUUCGGUUUGGGUGGCGGACGGGUGAGUAACGCGUAAAGAACUUGCCUCACAGUUAGGGACAACAUUUGGAAACGAAUGCUAAUACCUGAUAUUAUGAUUUUAGGGCAUCCUAAGAUUAUGAAAGCUAUAUGCACUGUGAGAGAGCUUUGCGUCCCAUUAGCUAGUUGGAGAGGUAACGGCUCACCAAGGCGAUGAUGGGUAGCCGGCCUGAGAGGGUGAACGGCCACAAGGGGACUGAGACACGGCCCUUACUCCUACGGGAGGCAACAGUGGGGAAUAUGGGACAAUGGACCAAAAGUCUGAUCCAGCAAUUCUGUGUGAACGAUGACGUUUUUCGGAAUGUAAAGUGCUUUCAGUUGGGAAGAAAAAAAUGACGGUACCAACAGAAGAAGUGACGGCUAAAUACGUG
rnacentral:rRNA from 1 species